ensembl:lncRNA
GAACUCUGCCCUCUACUGGACUGGAAGUCCUUCAGUGUGGGCGUGGCUUACCGAGCCAGUCUGGGGCGUUUUGACCAAUUAGGGAAGAACGGCGGCUCGUGGUGUCUCCACGCCAGCCAGUGGCUGCAGACGUCGUUGUCUGUGAAGCACAACAACCGAGCGAAGGCUCUGGAUUGGCCGCUGCCUCAGCGAAUCGGGAUCUACUGCGACUGCAGCAACGGUAGCUGGGCGUGGCCGUAAAGGCGUCGGGUCACGUGAGGCGUUCCGCAGCUCCAAUGACGACCUCGUCUCUUUCAGGUGAUUUAAUGUUCAUCGAUGUCGAUCGACUUCGUCUUCUUCACGCCUUCAAAGCAAAGUUCAACCAGCCGCUGGUGCCCGCCUUCACUGUGUGGUGCGGGGGAAUCACCGUCUCCACGGGCCUGCAGGUUCCGACCUUUAUGGGCAGUUUUCUCUCCACCAGUCGGAGCCUCAGUAACCUGGCGCAGUAGAUGAUCUUCAUCAUCUUCAUCCUCUUCAUCCUCAUCGCCAGUGUUUAUUUAUUUUUCAUAUCUUUCAUUAAUUUAUUCUUUUAUCAAGCCACUGUCCAGAUGUAGAUAAUAUAUGAGAUGUGAUGUGAAAUGAGGGAAUAUUUGAACUGUAAACGUGUGUUUAGGAAGCUGAACUCAGGUUCAGGUUCUGGGCUCGUCUCCAAUUGGACCGAUGUUCAGCUUCAGCUCUGAUCUGUCGAAUAUUAUCGAUACGUUUUUAACGUCUCUGCUGUGAAUUUGAAGAUUUGAAUAUCAAAAAUGUCCUAGAAUGUGAAAAUAAACUUUCAUGUUUGUAAAACUUAAAUUCCGAUAUUCCGAUUUAUUUCCUCCAAAGCAACUGAUCCGAAGAUCAUCUGUGAUCUUUCCACACCAAAGGGGCCCAGCAGGAGGGCGCUGAGGUCCUGAGGCCCUCGGGGGUGUCAGGAACCUGCUGUUCCAGGACAACUUCUGAAAGAGGGAACUUCCUGUUCCCAUGACGACCGACACUUCCUGUGGAUCACCCAUGACAACAAGAAUAAGAAUUUGUGGAAAAGGUGGUUCUGCUGUCCACCAGCAGAGGGAGCUGCUGACCUGCUGCUCAGAAAAGGGGCGAACAGGAAGUGACACGAGCCAAAGAGGCUGAUGAAGAUGGAAGGUUUCAGAAGAAGAUGGCGUUUAUUAAAUAAUACUAAGAUCUCCUCUCCCUGGACCCGGCUCAUUAAUGGACCUAUUAGUGUGAGUCAGGUCGGCUCCUGAUGUGGACCCUGAUCCGUGCACGUGUUCUGGUGCACGUGACGACUGCUGGUCACCAAACACAGCUGACAGGAAGUGGAACAGCAGCAGGUCAAAGGUCAGGGGCCUUGGGGUGCCCUGAUCAGGUCUGAUUGGUGGUUGAUCACCUGGUGGAUCUCUAACAGCUGGGAUCCACCAGGUGGGAUCGGUCACACGCAGGUGCACGUGACUCUCCUGUCGUCUUCAUCCACCACAUACGUGUCCUUAGCAUGUUCUCUCGGCACACCCAGGUCUGACGCCUGGACAUCGUGAUCCCUACGGAGACCAGCCAACAGCAGCGUCCCCCGUCCGCUGGGACGUCCCCCGUCCGCUGGGACGUCCUCCCGUCCGCUGGGACGUCCUCCCGUCCGCUGAGACGUCCCCCGUCCGCUGGGACGUCCCCCAUCCGCUGAGACGUCCCCCGUCCGUUGAGACGUCCCCCGUCCGCUGAGACGUCCCCCGUCCGUUGAGACGUCCCCCGUCCGCUGGGACGUCCCCCGUCCGUUGAGACGUCCCCCGUCCGCUGGGACGUCCUCCGUCCGCUGAGACGUCCCCCGUCCGUUGAGACGUCCCCCGUCCGCUGGGACGUCCCCCGUCCGCUGGGACGUCCCCCGUCCGCUGAGACGUCCUCCGUCCGCUGGGACGUCCCCCGUCCGCUGGGACGUCCCCCGUCCGUUGAGACGUCCCCCGUCCGCUGGGACGUCCCCCGUCCGCUGAGACGUCCUCCGUCCGCUGAGACGUCCCCCGUCCGUUGAGACGUCCCCCGUCCGCCGGGACGUCCUCCCGUCUUCCUCUCCGCUCCGCUUGGAUCUCGGAAUGCCUCAAAGUGUUUGUGAGACCCACUGAAACAAUCAGCCCGUCGGCAUGGAAACGGAGUCUGAAUGAGCUCACCUGAGAGCACCG